AAUGCCAAUCAAAUAAACCUGUUCCUUCUUUCCUAAUACAACGCUUAACAUAUCAUCUUCUUUUACUUCUUCCAAAAUGUUUUCAGUUUGUUCACACUCUCUCACUCACACAACCAUGUCUCAAUCUGCCUUCUUCAAAUUCAGUUACAACAAACUUCAUCAUCACAUUCCUCUCCUCUUCCCUAACUAUCUUUCGAUCGCACCGCCGCUUCUCCGCACAACAGCCGCUGUCCGCAGCAAUGCCGCGCCAGAUCCACCUCUCGGUUUCCUCGGCGCCGCCGAUGUCAUCGUCGUUGGUGCUGGCGUCGCCGGUUCCGCUCUCGCCUACACCCUCGCCAAGGAUGGACGGCGUGUCCAUGUUAUUGAGAGAGACUUGAGAGAGCCAGACAGAAUCGUUGGUGAACUUCUCCAACCAGGAGGAUAUCUAAAGCUAAUUGAGUUAGGGUUAGAAGACUGUGUGGACCAAAUUGAUGCACAAAGGGUGCUAGGCUAUGUUCUUUUCAUGGAUGGGAAAAAAACUAAGCUUCCUUAUCCUUUGGAGAAGUUUCAUGCUGAAGUGGCUGGCAGGAGCUUCCAUAAUGGACGUUUUGUACAGAUGAUGAGAGAAAAAGCCGCUGCUCUGCAAUUUGUACGAAUGGAGCAGGGCACUGUGACAUCUCUUCUUGAACAGGAUAACAAAAAUGUUGUAGGGGUCCAGUACAGAACUAAAGAUGGUCAACAACUUAAAGCAUAUGCUCCCCUCACAGUUAUUUGUGAUGGCUGUUUCUCAAAUCUGCGUCGGUCUCUUUGCCACCCCAAGGCACAGUUUGGAGAUGUUAUGAAAUCUGGACGAUUUGAUUUAUCAGUUUGCACCAGUUUGCUUGAGUCCCCUAAUAUGUUCUUAGCCACUUGCCAGGUUGAAGUACCCUCCUCUUUCGUGGGUUUAGUUCUGGAGAAUUGUCAACUCCCAUUCGAAAAUUAUGGGCAUGUUAUUCUAGCUGAUCCUUCCCCUAUCUUAUUUUAUCGUAUCAGCAGCACUGAGGUGCGCUGCUUAGUUGAUAUACCAGGUCCAAAAGUCCCUCUUGUUCGGAGUGGAAUGGCCAAUUACCUGAAGGCUACAGUUGCUUCCCAGAUUCCGCCUGAGCUUAAGGAUGCUUUCCUAUCUGCAAUCGAUAGAGGAAAUAUUAGAAUCAUGCCUAAUAGUAGCAUGCCAGCUGAACCAUAUCAUACUCCGGGAGCUCUGUUAAUUGGUGAUGCUUUCAACAUGCGUCAUCCUUUGACUGGUGGAGGAAUGACAGUGGCACUGUCUGAUAUAGUUUUGCUGCGGGAUCUUAUCAAGCCAGUUGGUGACUUGAAUGAUGCAUCCUCACUAUGCAGAUAUCUCGAAUCCUUUUACAUCUUGCGCAAGCCUAUGGCAUCCACCAUAAAUACUUUGGCAGGUGCUCUGUACAAGGUCUUUUCAGUUUCACCAGAUGAUGCCAGAAAAGAACUGCGCCAAGCAUGUUUUGACUACUUGAGCCUUGGAAAAAUAUUUUCUGGUGGACCCAUCGCACUACUCUCUGGCCUAAACCCUUACCCGUUGAGUUUAGUUCUUCACUUUUUUGCUGUUGCAUUCUAUGGGGUUGGCCGUCUGCUCUUACCAUUCCCUUCAUUUGAACGCAUGUGGGUUGGAGCUCGAAUUGUUUUGUGUGCGUUUGGCAUAAUAUUUCCAAUCAUCAAGGCUGAAGGAAUAAGACAAAUGUUUCUCCCCACAUCCAUACCAGCUUUUUAUAGAGCUCCUCCUCUCAGAUAAGACUUAUGGAAGCAGGCAAUAUGACUUUGAGGCUUUGGUGGUUAGUCAAGGUGACAAUAAGUUACAGGGAAGAAAAGACAUAAUGUUUGGCAUUUUUUGUAACUGGUUAUUGGAUCCAGUUGAGUCUGAUUCUGGGCUUGUUGCUUGAAUAUUCAAUCGAUCAAAGGAAGCAUUGUUAAGGUCAUUGAAACCAGGAAUUGGGCCAAAGGAAGCAAGAGAGGGUGGUGAUCUGACAGUCCUAGACACUCCUACAGGCAACCUCUCGGCCAUGUCCUUCAACUAUUCAGUGAAAGAAACAGACAUGUAAGACAAGUUCUGAUACAUCCAGUAUAUAUCCACAAGGCAUAAGUUAAAUUUAAAAUUUAAAAUCCAACAGUUUAGCUUUUAGUUGAAUUGAGCCCAACUGUAACUUAUUCAUGCUUCCCUAAGUUUUAUUAGGAUAUAUUAAGCUUUGGUAAAGUUAUUAAAAUCAAUGCAUUGCUUCUGUUCUGUGAGAUUUUCCUCAUUCUUGUAGUCAUUUAGGGAUGUUUUCCAGAGGCUGGUCCUCCAUUUAAUAUGUACACUACUUGGCCUCCAAGCAAGAUUUAAAUUUGAA